AGUCAGGCUGAGCCUUUGCCUCGUCAGGAUGGAGCUUCACCAUAGAUGAAGACAAGAGUUGGUGGUGGGGUAUAUGGAACUUGGAGAGUCACUGUGGACAGGGACUCAGGAGACCUAAGUUCAAAUCCCUCCUAGGCCCUAGAAACCCUCUGGAGAUAGCAAAGGCAGUCUUUUCCUUUCACAGGUCUGGGAGAGCCUUGCUUUUAGGCUAAGCUGAAGGCAGGCCAAAUGAGGUCUCCAGGUCGCCUCAGUUGAGGACUUUCCAUGAUUGCAUGUUGAACUUUGGCUUCCAGAGAGGUGUAGACCAAAGAUGACAGAGAAAGAAGAAAGGGCCAGAAGGAAGUGGUGGGAGAAAAGUGACAUCCCCUUAUCCAGCAGAAAAAAGCAACCCCAGAAAGGUGUCUUGGAAGAAGGUUGUGAGUCUUCCUGAACACUAAACAGACCAGACCUGCUGGAAGGAUGGAAGCGAAUAUCAGCAGUUAUUGUCAUGGACUACUGUUUGCAUUAGCACUGUAAUCUUUGGUCUCAUUCUGCUCCAGGAUCCUGUUCAUUCUCAACAGAUUCCCUCCCUCUGUCCAUCCCUCCUUCCCAACCAGUUUGAGGGACAGUGGCUCCCAGGAUCGCAGCCCUUCUGAACACCUGGAAUCUGAGCUACUUCCUGAAAUUGGGGGAUCAAGUGGGAUAUGUUGCAGCAUCCAUUUUCUUCUGGCUCUUCCAAUGCCCUUAGUGUAGCCUUGAACAAGGAAAAUGGGAAAGAAGGAGAGAGGGGAAAGUUUACAUCUAAUAAACUUUAUCAUUGUACUCCAAAGCUACAAUCUUAUGCUCAUUUACAUUAAAAUGACUCCUGGUGGACAAAGUGGAUGAAUUUUUGAGCGAAACAUGUAGGACUGCAAAAUAAAAUAUAGACAGGCAGUCACAACAGCUUGACAAGGUCUGAUUCCUUGCUCUGUGAACAUGAAAUGCAGUGCUGGCAGAUUGUGGUGGCCAUGUAAUGGCAAGAGAGGGAGGGCAAGCCACAACUGGAUAGGGGGAGAAUAAAGUAUCUAGGAAAAGAAUAUGUCUGUUUUACUAGACCUCUGAACAAGAACACUCCACACUGCAGCAGUGUGGUCAUGCUUAAAAAUGGAUAAAACCAGAGGCUCAAACUCAGCUUAAUUUUACACAUACAGUCCAUCCAUGUGCAUCUCUACUCUCUUACUCUCUUGCUUUCACAUGCUCACACUCUUUUCCUCACCCGUCACAUGCAUACCCUUGCCAUGUUCAAUUCCACUUGCACAGACCUUGGCUCUUGCAAAUUUCCCCAUGUUGAGCUCUUGUCUAGGCUCACCUGGUCUGAAAGUCACUUCCUUAUUCAACACACACACACAGUUGCCUACUGGGCCUUGCUCUCUUGCUCCCUCCCUCAUUAACACUCAUGCUUGCCUUCCUUCUCUUCUUGUAAGCACUGUUACGGUGCAAUCCCACAGGCAAGGAGCACCACUGUUACAUCAAUUUAAGUGUUAUUCAAAUCAAAUUAUAAUUUCUUGUGCACACAACACACUAGUGAAAUCGAUUUAUUUGGGCUCCAAAGUGAAU